rnacentral:lncRNA from 1 species
CCGGGAACCCACGAGCCAUCCCGUCGUGGCCCCAUUGGGGUCUCCGUCCACUUUUGGGGUCCCCUGGGGUCUCCAUCCACUUUUGGGGUCCCCUGAGCCAUCCAUCAGGUCCUCAUCGCCCCCAUUGGGUCUCCAUCCACUUUUGGGGUCCCCUGGGCCAUCCAUCAGGUCCUCAUUGUCUCCAGUGGGGUCUCCAUCCACUUUUGGGGUCCUUUAGGCCAUCCAUCAGGUCUCCGUUGAACCCCACGGGUCUCCAUCCACUCUUGGGGAAUUUAGGCCAUCCAUCAGGUCCUCAUCGCCCCCAGUGGGUCUCCAUCCACUUUUGGGGUCCUCUGGGCCAUCCCAAGAGGUCCUCAUCGCCCCCAGUGGGUCUCCAUCCACUUUUGGGGUCCUCUGGGCCAUCCCAAGAGGUCCUCAUCGUUCCCAAUAGGGUCUCCGUCCACUUUUGGGGUCCUUCAGACCAUCCCAAGAGGUCCUCAUUGCCCCCAUUGGGUCUCCGUCCACUUUUGGGGUCCCCUGGGGUCUCCAUCCACUUUUAUGGUCCCCUGGGCCAUCCAUCAGGUCUCCAGUGAUCCCAAUGGGGUCUCCAUCCACUUUUGGGGUCCCCUGAGCCAUGCAUCAGGUCCUCAUUGCCUCCAGUGGGGUCUCCAUCCACUUUUGGGGUUCCCUGGACCGUCCAUCAGGUCCCUGUUGACCUCCAUGGGGUCCCCAUUCACUUUUGGGAUCCCGUAGACCAUCCCAAGAGGUCCCCAGUGACCCCAAUGGGUUCUCCAUACAAUUUUUGGGGUCCAUCUGGUUGCCCUUGUCCCUCCCAAGAGGUCCCCAGUGACCCCAAAGGGGUCUCCAUCCAAUUCUGGGGUCCCCUGGACCAUCCCAGCAGGACCCCAUUGACCCCCAGGGGUCUCCAUGCACUUUUGGGGUCCUUUAGACCAUUCUAAG